CAAUAUUCAUUUCCUCACUCCUAAACACAAAGCUACCACAUGCUCAGCUCCACCCACUGUUCAUAUUUUUGCAGCACCAUCCCCACCCGAAGCUCCUACUUUUGAGGUUUAUCCACAAGUUGUGCCUCCCCACUCUGCGAGAGAGACUGUAUUGAAUAUUUUUGUUGAUCAACGUCAUGCUAUUGAGCCCACAUUUAAGUCAACUAAUCCUUAUAGCUAUACUU
rnacentral:lncRNA from 1 species